rnacentral:rRNA from 1 species
CUCAGAAGCAGCCACUCAUUCAAAGAGUGCGUAAUAGCUCACUGGUCGAGCGUCUUUGCGCGGAGAAUUUAACGGGGCUAAACCUGACACCGAAGCUUAGGCAAUCCAGUAAUGGAUUGGGUAGGGGAGCGUUGUAUACGCGGAGAAACAGUAGCGUAAGCGGCUGUGGAGUGUAUAGAAGUGAGAAUGCCGGAAUGAGUAGCGCGAAUGCAGUGAGAAUCUGCAUGGCCGAAAGCCUCAGGUUUUUGGAGGAAGGUUCGUCCGCUCCAAGUUAGUCGGGAGCUAAGGUGAGGCCGGAAGGCGUAGCCGAUGCACAGACGGUAGAGAUUCCGUCACCACCAAAAGAGUUAAGCACAGGGACACAUUUGAAGUCUCAGAGCCGGGUGUUGGUUCCGGUAGAGAUCGAGGGAAGUUAGUACCGAAGUCUGAGAUGGAAGAUGGCGAGAAAAGCUGUGUGUAUUUCUGAGGUGCCCGUACCGCAAACCGACACAGGUAGGUAGGAAGAAGAUUCUAAGGCCAACGGGAGAAGGGUUGUUAAGGAACUCGGCAAAUUGACCCCGUAACUUCGGGAGAAGGGGUGCUCCAGAGAUGGAGCCGCAGAGAAUCGGCCCAAGCAACUGUUUACCAAAAACACAGGUUUGUGCUAAAUCGAAAGAUGACGUAUACGAGCUGACGCCUGCCCGGUGCUGGAAGGUUAAGAGGAGAUGUGCAAGCAUUGAAUCGAAGCCCCAGUGAACGGCGGCCGUAACUAUAACGGUCCUAAGGUAGCGAAAUUCCUUGUCAGGUAAGUUCUGACCCGCAUGAAAGGCGUAAUGAUUUGGGCACUGUCUCAACAGCCCGCCCGGCGAAAUUGUAGUACCGGUGAAGAUGCCGGUUACCCGCGACAAGACGGAAAGACCCCAUGGAGCUUUACUGUAGCCUAAUAUUGGGUUUCGAUGUUGCAUGCACAGGAUAGAUGGGACACUGGGAAACAGGAGCUUUGGCUUCUGCGGAGUGGCCGUUGGGAUACCAUCCUUGCGAUAUUGGAAUUCUAACCUGCGGCUCUGAAUCGAGUCGGGGGACAUUGUUAGGUGGGCAGUUUGACUGGGGCGGUCGCCUCCUAAAAAGUAACGGAGGCGUUCAAAGGUUCGCUCAGCUUGAACGGAAAUCAAGCAAAAGAGUGCAAACGCAGAAGCGAGCCUAACUGCGAGACUGACGGGUCGAGCAGUAACGAAAGUUGGAGUUAGUGAUCCGGUGGUAUGUGAGUGGAAAUGCCAUCGCUCAACGGAUAAAAGUUACCCUGGGGAUAACAGGCUGAUCUCCCCCAAGAGUCCACAUCGACGGGGAGGUUUGGCACCUCGAUGUCGGCUCAUCGCAUCCUGGGGCUGAAGUAGGUCCCAAGGGUUGGGCUGUUCGCCCAUUAAAGCGGUACGCGAGCUGGGUUCAGAACGUCGUGAGACAGUUCGGUCCCUAUCUGUCGUGGGCGCAGGAUAUUUGAUGGGAGCUGUCCCUAGUACGAGAGGACCGGGACGGACGUACCUCUGGCGCACCAGUUGUUCCGCCAGGAGCAUAGCUGGGCAACUACGUACGGAUCGGAUAAACGCUGAAAGCAUCUAAGCGUGAAGCCGACCCAAAGAUAAGAUAUCCCAUUGUUUUAAACAAGUAAGACCCCUUGAAGACUACAAGGUUGAUAGGCACGAUGUGUAAGUGGAGCGAUCCAUUCAGCAAGCGUGUACUAAUAGGUCGAGGGCUUGACCA